rnacentral:rRNA from 1 species
UUGCGGGAUUGCUGGGUUUAUGCAACGAAGAAGGGCGUGGCAAGCUGCGAUAAGCUGAGAGAAGGUGCAAGCAACCUAUAAUCCUCAGAUUCCUGAAUGAGCAUACUUAUACUCUUCGGAGUAUAUUUCGUAAGAAAAGUAAACGCACAGAAUUGAAAUAUCUUAGUAUGUGCAGGAAAAGAAAUCAAUUGAGAUGCUGUAAGUAAGUAGACUGAAAGCAGCACAGGGCAAACUGAAUCCGCAAGGAGAUGUGGUGAGACAUAAGGAAAGCGCAAAAAUAAUAAACUUGUUUGGAAUAACUGACGAUACAAGGUGAUAGUCCUGUAGUUAUUUUUAGCGUUUUUCUGUCUUAAAGAGUAUAUUUGGUUUGAAUUCCAGAUAGAAUAGGGGCUAUUAACCUCUAACCCUAAAAAUAAGCAUAAAACCGAUAGCAAAUAGGUAGUGUGAACGAAAGCUGAAAAGCUCUCUUGAUAGAGAGUGAAAAGUACAUGAAAGCAAACAGUCAUAGUGAGUCAAGGCGUUAAAGAGGAUGUAAAAUUCUCAAUGUUUUGGCGUGCGUUCUGGAUAACGAGGCAAGGACUGGGUCUUAGCGGCAAGCUGAAAAGCGUAGCGAAAGCAAGUAUGAAAGUGCGUUUAGUCGUUAGGUCCUGACCUGAAGCCGGGCGAUCUAUUCUUGAGCAAGAUGAAGGGAAACAUAGUUUCCUCGAGGUCUGAAAGUAUUUCUAGGGAGAUGCCAUGACUUAAGAAUAGGAGCAAAAUACCAAUCGAGCUCGGCGAUAUCUGGGUCCAUCUGAAAGAUCCCAUAGGAUCGUCUUAUUGUAGAAUUAUUUUUGUAGAGAAACUGAUUGGGUUGCCUUGGGGAGAAAUCUCUAGCGCCCUGUCAAACUCCGAAUAGAAUAAUUUAUUCAAUAGGAAGGAGGCGUUCGGGAUAAACUUGAACACCAAAAGUGGAACAAAACACCCUAAAGUUAAGGUCCCUAAAUAAUAUCUAAGUGAAAAAGCUUUUAUUUUUCUAAAACAGCGAGGAUGUAAGCUCAGAAGCAGCUAUCAUCUAAGGAGUGCGUAACAGCUCACUCGUCUAGAAAAAUAAAAUCGACAACGGGACUAAGAUAUUUACCGAUACUUUAGUUCUUUGCGCGCAAGCGCAUUGGAGAUAGGAUGGCGUGGUGAUAGGAGAGAAGUUGGGUCGUAAGAUCCAAUGGACCUUUCACUAGUGAAAAUCUUGCCGAUAGUAGCAGAAAUUAGCGUGAGAAUCGCUAAGGUCUAAUGGGAUAGGAUUUCUUCCCAAUGAUUAUCAAGGAAGAGUUAGUCGGUCUUAAGAAAAGAUCUAAUUAAUCGUAUCAAAAAGGAAAUAGGUUAAUAUUCCUAUACUUGUGCACUACGCGCGGCAACGCAAGGUGCAGUUUCAACAGAUCAAGUAACCAUUUUGUAAAUAUAUUGUUUAAUACUUUGGAGAGUCGCAAUGACGAGAAGGAGUAAAAGGCAAUAUGGCCUCGCAAGAGGUAAAUGGCGGGCUUGGUUUUCUUAAAAAGAAACUGCGCAAGAAUGUGCACAAACCGUACCAAAACCUUUACAGGUUCCCUGGCUGAGAAUGCCAAGACCUCACGUUAAUUUUGCGGAAGGAAAUAAGCAAACUAGUUCUGUAUCUUAGGUAUAAAGAACACCCUUACUUGUGAAAGUGAGGGUCAAAGUAAAAAAGUCUGCUGGACUGUUUAACAAAAACAUAGGUGGCUGCUAAGUGGUAACGCUUUGUAUAGCCGCUAACGUCUGCCCAGUGGAAGUAGGUUAAAGCUGGAUUCAACCAGCCUAAGCCCUUCUAAACGGCGGGGGUAUUUCUGACCCUCUUAAGGUAGCGAAAUCCAUUGUUAUUUGAUUGGUGACAUGACUGAAGACGUAACAAGGUAGACGCUGUCUUCCGCAUAAACGUGGUGAACACACUCUUCCAUGUGUAAAAGCUGGAGAAUCCCGAUGGGACGAGAAGACCCCAUGGAGCUCUGCGGCAGUCUGAUGUUAUAAAUUGGUCUCGAGUGUUUAGAAUAGGAAGGAAGCAUCGAAGCAAUUUCGCUAGAAAUUGUAGAGCUAACAGUGUAAUACUUCCCACUUAAGAUCAGUUUAUUUAUCCAGAAAUGGAAACAGCUUCAGAUGGGCCGCUCGACUGGGGCGGGAAACUGUUAAAAAGAUAUCAACAGUGUCCAAAGGCCAGCUUAAGAGGUUCAGAAAUCCUCUGAAAAGUAUAAAAGCAAAAGCAGACUUGAUAGGAUUCUGCAUAGUAAGGAAUCCUGGGACGAAAGUCCGGUUUAGAGAACGGUAUGUAUAUUUUGAUAAUUGCAUACCCUAACAGAAAAGCUACCCUGGGGAUAAUUAGGCCGUCUUGGGAGAGAGUACAUAUCGACCUCAAGGAUUGCUGUUUCGCCUUCAACUCUGAGUUUCCUGGCAGUGCAGUAGCUGCCAAGGGUGCGGGUGCUAACCAAUUAAAACUCAUCGUUAGUCGGGUUCAUAACGGCGCGAGCCAGUUAGGUUUCUAUCUGUCGGGAUUGUUGUUAUCUGAGAGUAACGGAAUCAUAGUACGAAAGGAACAGAUUCUGGGCGCCAACUGUGUAUUGGUCAUCGAAAGGUGUUUUGCCAAGCAGCAGCGCGCUAUGCGGAUAAGAGCUGAAAGCAUCUAAGCUCGAAGUCGCUCUCAAAAAUAGAUAACUGAGAUCCUCGUAAAUGACGAGGUUAAUAGGGCACAGGUGUAAGUAUUGUAAAAUAUUUAGCUAAGUGUUACUAAGUUCUCAAAUCA